GUGGACGCCAGUCUGCGUGGAGCCGACCUUGAAAUACCACCCUUUAAUGUUUGAUGUUCUAACGUGGACCCGUAAUCCGGGUUGCGGACAGUGUCUGGUGGGUAGUUUGACUGGGGCGGUCUCCUCCUAAAGAGUAACGGAGGAGCACGAAGGUUGGCUAAUCCUGGUCGGACAUCAGGAGGUUAGUGCAAUGGCAUAAGCCAGCUUGACUGCGAGCGUGACGGCGCGAGCAGGUGCGAAAGCAGGUCAUAGUGAUCCGGUGGUUCUGAAUGGAAGGGCCAUCGCUCAACGGAUAAAAGGUACUCCGGGGAUAACAGGCUGAUACCGCCCAAGAGUUCAUAUCGACGGCGGUGUUUGGCACCUCGAUGUCGGCUCAUCACAUCCUGGGGCUGAAGUAGGUCCCAAGGGUAUGGCUGUUCGCCAUUUAAAGUGGUACGCGAGCUGGGUUUAGAACGUCGUGAGACAGUUCGGUCCCUAUCUGCCGUGGGCGCUGGAGAACUGAGGGGGGCUGCUCCUAGUACGAGAGGACCGGAGUGGACGCAUCACUGGUGUUCGGGUUGUCAUGCCAAUGGCACUGCCCGGUAGCUAAAUGCGGAAGAGAUAAGUGCUGAAAGCAUCUAAGCACGAAACUUGCCCCGAGAUGAGUUCUCCCUGAGACUUUAGGUCUCCUGAAGGAACGUUGAAGACGACGACGUUGAUAGGCCGGGUGUGUAAGCGCAGCGAUGCGUUGAGCUAACCGGUACUAAUGAAC
rnacentral:rRNA from 1 species